CCUGCCCUGAGAGGUCUUGCUGGUGUGGCUGCUGUGUCACGUGUGUGCCAGUAGGUGGCAGAGAAGAGAGAGGCUAUGUCUGAGCUCAGUGUUCUGACCUGUGAACAUCUGAAGGAUUAGUAGCCUAACGCU